rnacentral:rRNA from 1 species
UUGGAGGGCAAGUCUGGUGCCAGCAGCCGCGGUAAUUCCAGCUCCAAUAGCGUAUAUUAAAGUUGUUGCAGUUAAAAAGCUCGUAGUUGAAUUUCGGGAUUGACGUGAUGGUCAUGCCUUAAGGGGUAUGAACUGUUACUGUUGAUUUCUCACCUUCUGGAGAAACUUGAUGUCCUUUAUAGGGUGUCUUGCGGAACCAGGACCUUUACCUUGAAAAAAUUAGAGUGUUUAAAGCAGGCAUUUUUGCUCGAAUACAAUAGCAUGGAAUAAUAGAAUAGGACGGCAUGGUUCUAUUUUGUUGGUUUCUAGGAUCACCGUAAUGAUUAAUAGGGAUAGUUGGGGGCAUUAGUAUUCAAUUGUCAGAGGUGAAAUUCUUGGAUUUAUUGAAGACUAACUACUGCGAAAGCAUUUGCCAAGGAUGUUUUCAUUAAUCAAGAACGAAAGUUAGGGGAUCGAAGACGAUCAGAUACCGUCGUAGUCUUAACCAUAAACUAUGCCGACUAGGAAUCAGACGAUGUUAAUUUUUUAAUGACUCGUUUGGCACCUUACGGGAAACCAAAGUGUUUGGGUUC